UACGUAGGGUGCGAGCGUUAAUCGGAAUUACUGGGCGUAAAGCGUGCGCAGGCGGUUUUGUAAGCCAGAUGUGAAAUCCCCGGGCUUAACCUGGGAAUGGCAUUUGGGACUGCAAGGCUUGAGUGCGGCAGAGGAGACUGGAAUUCCUGGUGUAGCAGUGAAAUGCGUAGAUAUCAGGAGGAACACCGAUGGCGAAGGCAGGUCUCUGGGCCACUACUGACGCUGAGAAGCGAAAGCAUGGGGAGCGAACAGG
rnacentral:rRNA from 1 species